GCCUGGGUAGCUCAGUGGUUGAGCAUCUGGCUUUGGCUCAGGCCAUGAACCCAGGGUCCUGGGAUCGAGUCCCAUGUCGGGCU
rnacentral:tRNA from 1 species